UACAGAGGGGGCAAGCGUUGUUCGGAAUUACUGGGCGUAAAGGGCGCGUAGGCGGCCAACUAAGUCAGACGUGAAAUCCCUCAGCUUAACUGGGGAACUGCGUCUGAUACUGGAUGGCUAGAGGUUGGGAGAGGGAUGCGGAAUUCCAGGUGUAGCGGUGAAAUGCGUAGAUAUCUGGAGGAACACCGGUGGCGAAGGCGGCAUCCUGGACCAAUUCUGACGCUGAGGAGCGAAAGCCAGGGGAGCAAACGGG
rnacentral:rRNA from 1 species